UACGUAGGGAGCAAGCGUUGUCCGGAAUCAUUGGGCGUAAAGCGCGCGUAGGUGGCCUCAUAAGUCCGUUGUGAAAGUCAAAGGCUCAACCUUUGAAAGCCGAUGGAUACUGUGAGACUAGAGUACGGAAGAGGCGAGUGGAAUUCCUGGUGUAGCGGUGGAAUGCGCAGAUAUCAUCAGGAACUCCGGUGGCGAAGGCGGCGCACUGGUCCUCUUCUGACGCUGAGGCGCGAAAGCCAGGGGAGCAAACGGG
rnacentral:rRNA from 1 species